UUCGGUACAACACAUUUGAUAUGUGGAUGCUGACGCAGAGUCAUGCACUAAACCUCGUGUAAGUCUGAGAUGUUCGAGAUAUACAUUGGUUGAAAAUGGCACAGGGUCCAUAAAGGGGUCCCACCAUUUAAACAUGAGGAAACUUGAGCGGAAAAAAUUGAGAGAAUCCAUUCUCGAGCAAUACAUAGAGCUAGUUUUGAGUGCUUGUACCAUACACACUUGAAGUCUAUGUACCCUAUGUUUAGAAAUUAUCUAAGUUAACAUGCAAUGACCACACACAUUGCGUAUGUUAUGGUUUAUAGAAGGAUGAAGCAUGAAUGCAAUCCUGUUAAUAAAAAAAUAAAAAAGCAUUUAUUCUUUUGAGAGCAUUUGUCACAAUUUUAUGGUCUUCCUAAAUUGGCCAUCAUUCAAAAAUUAAAGACAUUCACAUGUAAUGACCAUACAAACGUUACCUCAAACAAAC
rnacentral:lncRNA from 1 species